AGCACCCGUGUGGGUGUUUGUCAGACAGCCGGACAGAGGCUUUGAGACAGGGGCAAACGCCAGGUCCUCUUUUGCAGGGCGGAACUCACUGUUCUGUCUGAGUUCUGAUACAGACAAGAAGGGACGUG